UACAGGUAAUGACCCUGACCAUUUUGAUACAUCGUCUAUGAAUGAUGUUGUGAUCUCAGAUCCUGAAGGUGGUUCUAAUAAGUGUGGCCUCUUUACUAUUACCGGUGUAUCUCUCGCAUGCAUUUUCCUUAGAAAUUCGUGAAACGCCUUACUGUUUAAGUGUUUGUUGAAGCCUACUGCAGUUAUAAAAGACAGUCAGGCCGUGGUGGAAGUGGGAUGGGAAAAUUUAGUUUAAAGUUCCUUCUGUUUGUCCUGUUGUGGAACAUCUCAAUCGGAUUAUAUGUAAUUACUUAUCUUCUUGAAUUUUUUGCUAUAAAAUUGUAAGCUUGACAAUAGCUAUGUACCUAUCAUACAAUUUAUUAGUUUAGCAGGUUAAUGUUCAACCAUGUUUUUUGCU